AUCCGUAGGUGGAGAGCGUUGUCCGGAAUGAUUGGGCGUAAAGGGCGUGUAGGCGGCUGUCUAGGUCUGGAGUGAAAGUCCUGCUUUCCAGGUGGGAAUUGCUUUGGAGACUGGAUGGCUUUAGUGCGGAAGCGGUAAGUGGAAUUCCCAGGGUAGCGGUGAAAUGCGUAGAGAUUGGGAGGAACACCAGUGGCGAAGGCGACUUACUGGGCCGUAACUGACGCUGAGGCGCGAAAGCGUGGGGAGCGAACAGGAUUAGAUACCCUGGUAGUCCACGCGGUAAACGAUGAAUGCCAGGUGUUGCGGGUAUCGACCCCUGCAGUGCCGGAGUAAACACAAUAAGUAUUCCACCUGGGGAGUACGAUCGCAAGGUUGAAACUCAAAUGAAUUGGCGGGG
rnacentral:rRNA from 1 species